UCCUCCCGAGGCCACUGUGUCUGCUCAGCAUUGGGGUGGGAGCGGCGGUGCAGACCCUGCCGGGAGGGGCGGGGAGAAGAGGUGUUGGGGUCUGCGCGAUCAGGCCCAGGGCGGUGCCAGUGAGCCGGCUGGCUGGUUUGUGUGGGAAGGUGCCUCCUGGAGAACCAAGCCACCCUCUGCCUCAGUGAAAUGAAGUUAAUGAGACCCACCUCAUCUCAUCAAUGAGCCAGUAAAGCCUGUAGAUAUCCCAGGUCUCACCUUGGCCCUGCCUCUUGGUCCUCUGGGAGCUCCCGAACACCAGCUUCCUGGCUCAGGGCCACGCCUCUCUGGGAUUCUUUUCUGUCCUCACAUCCCAGCUGAACACUAGGUUUGCCUAGCAGGAUGAGUGUACCGGACCCAGAAGGCAGUUCCCCGACUCCUGCUGUGUUCCUGGUCUCUCCUGGUCACAGAAGAUGGACGCUAACACAUGAGUGCCCGUUCAAAGACUGCAAGCACUCUUACCAUGUGCUAUCAGGCCAAAUGACUGUCAAGAGUCUUCUCCAACACCACUGUUCAAAAGCAUCAAUUCUUUGGUGCUUAGCCUGGAGAAGGCAGAAAUGUGAAUAAAAACCCUAUCCUGUACAAUGCUUCAUUUUUCUUCCAUGGGUUCAGAAUGCUGGCUCCAUUCUCCCACCUUGGCUUCACUCUGGGGUAGCGAUGUGAUCUUCGAGGGCUGAACCAUGUGAGGUCACACAGGGAAUGACAGUGAUGCUGGGUACCUUCCAAGGCUGGACCCUAAGAAGACACUUGCAAUUUCUGCCUUCAAGUUUAGCACAGUAUAAUUUGAAAUCCAGCUUUAUGCUGAGGCCACCAUGCUGUAAGGAAGCCCAAGCUGGUCACAUGGAGAGAAGGAGGCUACUGGAGAAACUCUGGGACACUGGACACACAUGAGGGAAGGCUUUUGGAUUGUCCAUCCCAGCAAGCCACCAAGCAGAAUCAGCCAAGUGGAUGACUGCAACCAACAGCUCUGUCACAAAGAACAGAACCACCCAGCUGAGUCCUGACGAAUUCCUGACCUAAAGGAUCAUGAGGAAUAAUUACUUUUGGGUUGUUUGUUAUACAGCAAUCGAUAACUAAAACAAUUAUAUUCCCAUUGCAUAGGUAAAGACGCUGGGACUAAGAUGGCCUAUAUCGUAAACUUCUAAGCAACAGCAUUGGUUUCCAACCCAGAGUGCCUGAAUCUAAUGUUCAUAUUCGCUCUGCAUACCUUGAUGGGAGAGUCAUUCUCCACUGCAGUUUUUGGACUGUGGGGACACUGGGGGCUCCGAAUCCCAGCCAUUUGGCUCUGUCCUCUCCAUUCUCUCUGGAGAAAGAUGGGGGCCUUACCCUCAAUUCUGGAAAACCCAGAACCCCAAACCUUCCUCUGUGCCUUUACCCUCACCAUUAGCUUUCCAAGAGGAAUCAGAAAGGCAGAAACGUGGUUGGAUACCAAGAGAAACCUUGGCAAAGCUUUGCUUCACCUCCCUCAAAGUUUGAUUGGAAAUGCCAUUCUAAGUUUUUUCAGUGUUAGUGGGGGUGAAGCUAGUUUUGAUGACAGCAAAACCUGAUGUUACUAAGGACAUUUUCAUCACAUUCUACCGUUUAUCAAGUUAAAUUUCGAGUUUGGGUGGCCUUAUAAAUCUACCCUCAUAUUUCCCAGAAACAGGAAAACAAACUCCCCACACCCUGAAUUAGGACAAGGGCUGACCUGAGAACUCAGCACACCACCAGAGGCUUCUGGUUCUCUUUCCCUAGAUCCCCUCAGUCUGCUCAUUAAAGGGGAUCCCAGUUCUCCCCCAGCUUGCAGAUACAGACCCUAGAUGUGUACCAGAGUGAAUAAGAAGAAUGCCAAGGGCGGGAUCCGGCACUCUUCACCACCAGGAGAGCCCAGUUCUGGAAGACAGAUGGGGACCCAGGUGAUGACCCCUGAGAGGCCCGUUCUAUCAAAAC